UACGAAGGGGCUAGCGUUGUUCGGAAUUACUGGGCGUAAAGGGCGUGUAGGCGGCCCGUUAAGACAGGUGUGAAAUUCCUGGGCUCCAACCCAGGAACGUGCGCCUGUGACUGGCGGGCUUGAGUCCGGAGAGGAUGGUGGAACUGCGAGUGUAGGAGGUGAAAUUCGUAGAUAUUCGCGAAGAACACCAGUGGCGAAGGCGGCUCGACAUG
rnacentral:rRNA from 1 species